rnacentral:rRNA from 1 species
UACGUAGGUGGCAAGCGAUACUCGGAAUCACUAGGCGUAAAGCGCAGGUAGGUGGUUUGGUAAGUCUUUUGUGAAAGCUCCCGGCUCAACUGGGAGAGGUCAAAGGAAACUACCGGACUAGAGUUUGGUAGGGGAUACUGGAAUUCCUGGUGUAGCGGUGAAAUGCGUAGAUAUCAGGAGGAAUACCUAUGGCGAAAGCAGGUAUCUGGGCCACAACUGACACUGAGCUGCGAAAGCUAGGGGAGCAAAC